rnacentral:rRNA from 1 species
GUCUAUGGCCAUAUCACCCUGAACAUGCCUAAUUUUGUCUGAUCUUGGAAGCUAAGCAGGGUUGGGCCUGGUUAGUACUUGGAUGGGAGAAACUCCUCGUGUCAUAAAUA